rnacentral:rRNA from 1 species
AACGAACGCUGGCGGCAUGCCUAACACAUGCAAGUCGAACGGGAUCCGGACUUCGGUCCGGUGAGAGUGGCGGACGGGUGAGUAACACGUGGGAACCUGCCUUUUGGUUCGGGAUAACCGCGGGAAACUGCGGCUAAUACCGGAUGCUCCCGAGAGGGAAAAGAUUUAUCGCCAGAAGAGGGGCCCGCGUCCGAUUAGGUAGUUGGUGGGGUAAUGGCCUACCAAGCCGACGAUCGGUAGCUGGUCUGAGAGGAUGAUCAGCCACACUGGGACUGAGAUACGGCCCAGACUCCUACGGGAGGCAGCAGUGGGGAAUAUUGGACAAUGAGGGCAACCCUGAUCCAGCAAUGCCGCGUGAGUGAUGAAGGCCUUAGGGUUGUAAAGCUCUUUUGCCAGGGAAGAUGAUGACUGUACCUGGAGAAUAAGCCCCCGGCUAAACUUCGUGCCAGCAGCCGCGGUAAU